GUUGAGCAGUCACCAGUCACAGUCAGUCAGUCCAGUCGGUACUCUGUAGGUCGUAGAGCCCGAGCGCGAUUGUGUUGUGAUAGUUGGGUUGCAGUUAUUAGCGCGGUUACAAACCACGGUUGGGUGAGGCUUGUUUUGGUUAAUCGCUGUUGACUUCAACCUGCCUGUGGUCUGGCGACCUUACCCGACGAGAUGGAAAACGUUCAACUAAAUUUCACAGUGGCGUCAUGAGAUUCAAGGAUUCUUUGUACUUACAGCGUCCGGUCAUCUCAAGGAUCUUGCCGGGAUGCUGCCUUCUAUUCCUUACUUACUUCCUGAAACUGCUCAUCUGUUGUCCCUCCAUGUGAAGGAGAUCUUCAGAGAUCUUCAAUCAGUGACCUGGAAGCAAGCAGCUAUUCUUCUUACUGUAUCAGCUAUUCUUCCUUCAUUAUUUCCUGAGUGAACUGGGUAUGGAGUGGAUGGGCCAGCAGGAACUCAUGCAGCAUAGAGCUCUGCACAAUUAACAUGGC